GCCCAGAUAUUUUCAGACAUCCUGAUCCCAUGAAGAGAAGCCAGUGCCCACACAGUCAUUCUGAUGAUGAAAUGUCUCUGUGCUCCGAGCUGUUAGACAGAGAAAUUAAACGGUUUCGGAAGCUGUCAUCUGCCUCUAAACCCAGCACUCUACGCUGUGCAGGUGUGUG